rnacentral:rRNA from 1 species
UUCAAGUCUUUAAGAGCAAACGGUGGAUGCCUUGGCAUCUGGAGCCGAAGAAGGACGUAGCAAUCUGCGAUAAGCCUCGGGGAACUGAUAAGCGAGUUUUGAUCCGAGGGUGUCCGAAUGGGGAAACCCCGCCAGGGCGCGUGCGUACCUGGUGACUCCCGCCUGAAUAUAUAGGGCGGGUAGAGGGAACGUGGGGAAGUGAAACAUCUCAGUACCCACAGGAAGAGAAAGCAAAAGCGAUUCCGUGAGUAGUGGCGAGCGAAACCGGAAGAGGCUAAACCUAGCGUGUGUGAUAGCCGGCAGGUGUUGCACGUUGGGGGUUGUGGGACUUUUCUGAUUGUUCUGCCGAGCAGUCGACGUGACAAGAGGGUAUAGACGAACGGUUUUGAACGGCCGGUCAUAGAGGGUGCGAACCCCGUAGUCGAAAUGCCUGUUCUUGGCGUGAAGAGUAUCCCAAGUAGCACGGGGCCCGAGAAAUCCCGUGUGAAUCUGUCAGGACCACCUGAUAAGCCUAAAUACUCCCAGAUGACCGAUAGCGGACAAGUACCGUGAGGGAAAGGUGAAAAGUACCCCGGGAGGGGAGUGAAAUAGUACCUGAAACCGUUUGCUUACAAACCGUUGGAGCCUCCUUAGUAGGGGUGACAGCGUGCCUUUUGAAGAAUGAGCCUGCGAGUUAGCGAUACGUGGCGAGGUUAACCCGUGUGGGGUAGCCGUAGCGAAAGCGAGUCUGAAUAGGGCGAUUCAGUCGCGUGUCCUAGACCCGAAGCGAAGUGAUCUAUCCAUGGCCAGGUUGAAGCGACGGUAAGACGUCGUGGAGGACCGAACCCACUUAGGUUGAAAACUGAGGGGAUGAGCUGUGGAUAGGGGUGAAAGGCCAAUCAAACUUCGUGAUAGCUGGUUCUCUCCGAAAUGCAUUUAGGUGCAGCGUUGCGUGUUUCUUGCCGGAGGUAGAGCUACUGGAUGGCCGAUGGGCCCUACAAGGUUACUGACGUCAGCCAAACUCCGAAUGCCGGUAAGUGAGAGCGCAGCAGUGAGACUGUGGGGGAUAAGCUUCAUAGUCGAGAGGGAAACAACCCAGACCACCAACUAAGGUCCCUAAGCGCGUGCUAAGUGGGAAAGGAUGUGGAGUUGCUUUGACAACCAGGAGGUUGGCUUAGAAGCAGCCACCCUUGAAAGAGUGCGUAAUAGCUCACUGGUCAAGUGAUUCCGCGCCGACAAUGUAACGGGGCUCAAGCACGCCACCGAAGUUGUGGCAUUGACAUUUUUGGUAGGCCUUCGUGGUCCAGCCGUGUUGAUGGGUAGGAGAGCGUCGUGUGGCGAGUGAAGCGGCGGGGUGACCCAGCCGUGGACGCUACACGAGUGAGAAUGCAGGCAUGAGUAGCGAAAGACGUGUGAGAAACAUGUCCUCCGAAAGACCAAGGGUUCCAGGGUCAAGCUAAUCUUCCCUGGGUAAGUCGGGACCUAAGGCGAGGCCGACAGGCGUAGUCGAUGGACAACGGGUUGAUAUUCCCGUACCGGCGAAGAACCGCCCAAGCUAAUCCAGUGGUGCUAAGAGUCCUAACCAGGAAUGGAUGGAUCCCUUCGGGGUGAAGCCGUCUUGGCGAACGCUCGACCCCAUGCUGGUGCGGUUAGCGUAUUAACAGGUGUGACGCAGGAAGGUAGCCCAAGCCAGGCGAUGGUAGUCCUGGUGCAAGUGCGUAGGCCGAGUGAUAGGCAAAUCCGUCACUCAUUGAGGCUGAGACACGAUGCGGAUAAAAAGUGGGUGAUCCUAUGCUGCCGAGAAAAGCAUCGACGCGAGGUUCAAGCCGCCCGUACCCCAAACCGACUCAGGUGGUCAGGUAGAGAAUACCAAGGAGAUCGAGAGAAUCGUGGUUAAGGAACUCGGCAAAAUGCCCCCGUAACUUCGGGAGAAGGGGGGCCAUCCACUUAUUAGGACUUGCUCCGAAAGGGUGUGGUGGCCGCAGAGACUAGUGGGUAGCGACUGUUUACUAAAAACACAGGUCCGUGCCAAGUCGCAAGACGAUGUAUACGGACUGACGCCUGCCCGGUGCUGGAAGGUUAAGAGGACCGGUUAGCCGCAAGGCGAAGCUGAGAAUUUAAGCCCCAGUAAACGGCGGUGGUAACUAUAACCAUCCUAAGGUAGCGAAAUUCCUUGUCGGGUAAGUUCCGACCUGCACGAA